rnacentral:rRNA from 1 species
CCUUACCAGAUCUUGACAUCCUGCUGAAUGGCCCGUAAUGGGGCCAGUCCUUCGGGACAGCAGAGACAGGUGGUGCAUGGUUGUCGUCAGCUCGUGUCGUGAGAUGUUGGGUCAAGUCCCGCAACGAGCGCAACCCUUGUCCAUAGUAGCCAGCAGUAAGAUGGGCACUCUAUGGAGACUGCCGGGGAUAACCCGGAGGAAGGUGGGGAUGACGUCAAAUCAUCAUGCCCCUUAUGAUCUGGGCCACACACGUGCUACAAUGGCGUAAACAAAGGGAAGCGAGCCUGUGAAGGUAAGCAAACCCCAAAAAUAACGUCUCAGUUCGGAUUGUAGUCUGCAACUCGACUACAUGAAGCUGGAAUCGCUAGUAAUCGCGGAUCAGCAUGCCGCGGUGAAUACGUUCCCGGGUCUUGUACACACCG